CAGAUGAGCCUUCUAAAACACAGAGAGGUUAAGUACUAUGACUGUAUCACACAGCCUGUACCUACGACAGCUGAGAUUUGUACUUGGCCACAUCUCCAAAGACACUCUUGGCUCCUCUAUCACAGACAAGAGAAAAGAAAACCAGAAAGUAAUAAAGGACUUGAAGAAGUAUAUUCCUCAAGCUUGGAAGCCCCACACAGGCAGUCCCUGUUGUCCUGCUCAAAGAGGGACCCACCCAGGGGGAAGACAAGCUGUGCUCCUUGAUGCCAGCCUGGAAGUGGGUGGAGCCAUCGUCCACCCAGGGCACAUCCUUCAUCUGGUCACCAGACAAGAGAGGCUCACUCAGGUGGCUCAGGAAAAGUGUCUGUUUAAUAAGGUGGGUCUGUUUGUGAAACCUUGGGAUGGG
rnacentral:lncRNA from 1 species